UGUUGACCUCGGAUCAGGUAGGAAUACCCGCUGAACUUAAGCAUAUCAAUAAGCGGAGGAAAAGAAACCAACAGGGAUUGCCCUAGUAACGGCGAGUGAAGCGGCAACAGCUCAAAUUUGAAAUCUGGCUCUCGGGCCCGAGUUGUAAUUUGUAGAGGAUGACUUUGAUGCGGUGCCUUCCGAGUUCCCUGGAACGGGACGCCAUAGAGGGUGAGAGCCCCGUCUGGUUGGAUGCCAAAUCUCUGUAAGUCUCCUUCGACGAGUCGAGUAGUUUGGGAAUGCUGCUCUAAAUGGGAGGUAUAUGUCUUCUAAAGCUAAAUACCGGCCAGAGACCGAUAGCGCACAAGUAGAGUGAUCGAAAGAUGAAAAGCACUUUGAAAAGAGAGUUAAAAAGUACGUGAAAUUGUUGAAAGGGAAGCGUUUAUGACCAGACUUGGGCUUGGUUAAUCAUCUGGGGUUCUCCCCAGU
rnacentral:rRNA from 1 species